UACGGAGGGUGCAAGCGUUGUUCGGAAUUACUGGGCGUAAAGAGCGUGUAGGCGGUUGGGCAAGUCAGAUGUGAAAGUCUUCCGCUCAACGGGAGAAGGGCAUUUGAAACUACCUGGCUAGAGUACGGGAGAGGAGAGUGGAAUUCCCGGUGUAGAGGUGAAAUUCGUAGAUAUCGGGAGGAACACCAGUGGCGAAGGCGGUUCUCUGGUCCGAUACUGACGCUGAGACGCGAAAGCGUGGGGAGCAAACAGG
rnacentral:rRNA from 1 species